CCCACCCCCGCGCUCCCCACCCCCAGCCCCCGGCGCCCCGCCUCUCCCGGCCCUAAUGACAACUAUUAGAACUGCCUCCCCGCACCCACCGCCCGGCGAGCACAAAAGCGCGAGAUUCAUUUGGUAAUCGGGGUAAUUACAGCGGGGCGCGGGGGCGCACGCGGCGAUGGCGGGCGCGCCGGCGGAAUGCUAAGGGGCCGGGCGCGCCGCCCGUUCCCGCCCCGCCGCCCUCCCCGCCCGGCCCCUCGCCCGCGCGGCGCCCGGGGCCACGUCGCCCCGCCGGCCGCCCGCGCCCUGCCCCCACCCCGGGCCGCGGGAAGGGGGCCGCCCGGGGGCUCCGGGGCGCGGGACGGAAAGCCCCCCCCCCUUCUCCAGCAACCCCCCUCCCCCCCCCGCCCGGCUGGCCGGCGGCCUCGGCGGCGCUCCGGACAAGAUUUGCCACGUCCGGGAGCCGGAGAGCCCCGCCGAGGUCCGCACGCAUAAUAAAUACCGUGUGUAAUGUAUUUACUCUGCUGCCCCCGGUUAAUUUACACACCCGCGCCGCGCCGUGCGCCCUCCCCCGCGCGCGCCCCGGCCUGUCGUUCCUAUUUACAGGCGCGAGGCGCCGUCCCUCGAGAGGGCUUUUUUUUUUUUUUUUCUUUUUCUUUUUCUUUCUUUCUUUCUUUCUUUUUUUUUUUUUUAGAGCUUUAGGAUGGAUGCAACGUGUCAUUAAACCUGAAAGGGGCUGUUACUUAUCAGUAAUGGUGUUUUCCACAGGCCUUUCUCCUCACCUGCACGGGCACAGGCUGCACCCCGCGGGAGGAUUCGUCCAGAGCGGCCUCGGACAGCGGUGUGCAGGGGACUCCGCAGAAAGGCUUCCCCCUCCGCAGCCGGCAAGAAAUGCAGCCUCUCGGUUGCGCGGCUCCUGCAGCAGAGAGGCCUUGUGAGCAACAGCCCUUAUCUGGGGCGAUUUCCCAUCUGCCUCUCUGGGAAGCUGGAUUGCCCUCCUGCACGGGGCUUAUCUGGCCGGGAAGGGGAGGCCGGCCCAGCCAUCCGCCUGCUCACUGGGCCUUGCGUGUUCUUAAUGACCCAGAACAGAGUCCUCAGAGGUGAAAAACAAAACCCUGCACCCCCUUAACCCUUCCGUGCCCAUCCUGGCCUGGGAGAUUUCUUAUCACAGAUGCCUUUCUUGGUUUCAGCCAGGGACUGCCCGUUCUAUCUACCUCAGUCCCACCAGGCCAAAACUUUAGACUGGCCUCCCACUGCUGGAGGAGGAGGAGGAGGAGGAGGAGGAGGAGGAGGAGGAGGAGGAAGGUUAAUCCCAAGACAGCCCUUGGAGGACUGGGAGUGGGGAGGGGCAAAGCCCUGAAAGUGUGGGCAGAAUUUUGAGAAGGUAUGCAUUUUUUGGAGGGGAGGGUUCCUCAAGGGGUCUGUGCUAGCCCCCAAAGGUUAAGAACCAUCUGCCAGCCGUUUGACCCUGCUCGGGUCUUAUCUCGGGCCUAACUUCAUUAUCAGGAAGAAUGAGGCUACCCCGAAGUGGCUGUUGUGAUUAAAACAAUGAGAUAAUGCUUUAAUAUUUGUAAACUGUACAGGGUUCUACAAAGGUAAAUUAUUAAUGAAGCCAAAGAUGGCUGUGUGUGCGUGUGUGUGUGUGUGUGUGUAUGCUCAUGUACUUGUGAAUUGGUGGUUUGGGAGGGGGGGUGUGGGGGGGGCACUGGGAUUACAGUCUCCAUUUUUAGGGGACUUCUGAGGCCCCCAUCUCUCUACCUUAGAACCAAGUGGGAUUGAUGUGGAAUGUUGCCCCUGUCCUUUGAAAACAGGAAGCUUGCUUGCAGGGGGCUCCAUGGAGGGAGUGGGAAGCAAGGUCUUCCUGUUCAAGCCCCUCUUGUGUCCGCAGGAGCCUCGUGGCCUUCCUUGGGCACAAUGUAGUCAUCUGCGCCCAGCGGG
ensembl:lncRNA